rnacentral:rRNA from 1 species
GAUCAUGGCUCAGAUUGAACGCUGGCGGCAGGCUUAACACAUGCAAGUCGAACGGUAAUAUAAAGAAGCUUGCUUCUUUGAUGACGAGUGGCGGACGGGUGAGUAAUGCUUGGGAAUCUGGCUUAUGGAGGGGGAUAACUACGGGAAACUGUAGCUAAUACCGCGUAAUAUCGAAAGAUUAAAGUGUGGGACCUUCGGGCCACAUGCCAUAGGAUGAGCCCAAGUGGGAUUAGGUAGUUGGUGAGG